rnacentral:rRNA from 1 species
CUCCGGUUGAUCCCGCCGGACCCGACUGCUAUCGGAUUGAGAUUUAGCCAUGCGAGUCGAACGUUCCCCUGUUGCGGGGAGCGUGGCGUACGGCUCAGUAACACGUAGUCAACCUGCCCUGGAGACAAGGACAACCCCGGGAAACUGGGAUUAAUCCUUGAUAGGUCAUCUCAUCUGGAAGGAGAGAUGGCUUAAAGGGGUACGCGGGCUUCUUCCGCGAAUUCGCUCCAGGAUGGGACUGCGUCCGAUCAGGCUGUUGGCGGGGUAAUGGCCCACCAAACCUGUAACCGGUACGGGCCUUGAGAGAGGUGGCCCGGAGAUGGACACUGAGAGAAGGGUCCAGGUCCUACGGGGCGCAGCAGGCGCGAAACCUUCGCAAUGCGCGAAAGCGUGACGAGGUUAAUCCGAGUGACUCCCGCUGAGGGGGUCUUUUGUCAGCUGUAAAUAGGCAGGCGAAUAAGGGGAGGGCAAGCCUGGUGUCAGCCGCCGCGGUAAUACCAGCUCCUCGAGUGGUCGGGGCGAUUAUUGGGCCUAAAGCAUCCGUAGCCGGUUCCGUAGGUCCUCUGUUAAAUCCAACCGCUCAACGGUUGACCUGCAGAGGAUACCGCGGGACUAGGAGGCGGGAGAGGCGGACGGUACUCCGCGUGUAGGGGUAAAAUCCUUUGAUCCGCGGAAGACCACCAGUGGCGAAGGCGGUCCGCCAGAACGCGCUCGACGGUGAGGGAUGAAAGCUGGGGGAGCGAACCGGAUUAGAUACCCGGGUAGUCCCAGCCGUAAACGAUGCUAGCUAGAUGAUUCAUUCGCAAGUCGCGAAUGAAGUGUCGCAGGGAAGCCGUUAAGCUAGCCGCCUGGGGAGUACGGUCGCAAGACUGAAACUUAAAGGAAUUGGCGGGGGAAGC